ACAAAAAAAUAGGAAAACAAAUUUAAAAGCGAGGAAGAAACAUAAAAUUUAGAAAACCUAAAACAAGAUUUAAAAAGAAAGACCCGAAAAAACCUAGUGAAAACCUAGAAAAGAAAUAGAAAAACCAAAGAAAAUCAUAGAAAGAAAGGAAAUGAAAAACAGUGAAAACUAAGAAAAGAAAUGAAGCAAACAUAUGAGAAAG
rnacentral:lncRNA from 1 species